UAAAACUUGCAACACCAAAUUUCUUUUCCCCCCUAAUUUUGUAGUGCCUCCAGGUUUCUACAAAAAUUAACAAUAUCAUAUUAAAACCAAACCUUUUCUACGCCAUAACCCAUUACAAGCUUUUAUCACACAUCGAUGAUGAAGACGGCGAUCAUUGAUGGAAACUAUUUAGAGGUCAAAUACACAGAUGAUUUAGAGAUCUAUGAUGGAUGUAACCGACAAGUUGAUUCAGAAAUCGUAAGUGCAUCUUUUUUCUGAAGGUUAUCUCGGAUUGCUUUCUAAUCAAGUAUGGUAUGUCAACUUCCGGGUUUUGACUACUUGUUAUGUUUAGAUCGGUUGGUGUCAUUGUCAAUAAUGUUUACAUUAAGGCCAGUUUUUCAACUCUUUAUUGGUACCUUGCAGUUAGGAGGGCAAAAAGCUUAAUUUUGUAAUGGAAUUAGGAAUUUCGAUUGAUUUUUAAGCAACUGAUAUAGAAACUGAUGAUUAUUUGAUUUACAUAUUGUUCACAUCACUUUUGCAACUAACUUUCUAUUAUUUGGGCAAAAUGGAUUCUUUAAUGACAUAAGCUUAGUGCAUGCCAGGUGUUUGAUGUUUUGCCAAAUGAAAAUUGAUGAUUCAACAUGAUCAUACCAAUUUGACAUAUAAUAUUCACCGGUACCACUAGUUUAUAAAAAAAAACGAUCCGAGUCUAGAGAAUACCAAAGAAUCGAAUAUGGGUAGUUUACUCAUACUAUAGAGCAAGAUAAAUAUAAUUUGGAACAGUUAGGCUUCUUACUAUAAUUAUGUGGAUUUAAUUAUCUUUUUUCUUGUCAACUGUUAUCGUAAAACAUAGAUUCCAUAUAGUAAAGAGCUGCAUUAUAAGCUAUUUUCUAAAUCCAAUGCCACACAUUUAGUUUCUAAACUUAUAGUUUAAUUUAUAUCAAACAUUUGGUGAAGCAUUCUCCAUGUCGUAUGCUUAUCCUUCUACUAAGGUUGUUGUUACAGAGGUAACUAGGAAGGGAUGCCAGCAUGGGGACGUACACACUUAUUCUCGGAUGUGAUUGGUCUUACAAAAUGCUUAUUUUUGGAAUUAAAAACAAAGAGAAAGAAGAGCGAGGUUGUAAAGACUCAGACAACGUUAGGGAAAGCCCUGGUGCAUUCGAUAGUUUGUACAGCGAACUACCAGAAAUCUUGUUUAUUCAAAGAUGUGAACUUCUAUGUCCUGAUUGCCAAGGUGCUCCUACGGUUAGGGGUACAGGCCGUGUUUAUCCUACUACUGAGAGGAUUUUGCAUAAUUGCCUGAUGAUAGAUGGUUUUGUCAAAGUUCAAGUAGAUAGAGUUGAAGAAGGUUGCGGAUUGAACCGUCUCUUGCCUGAGUCAUGUAGUAGACUGUUUGGAAGAUGCAAAAGAAUGCUUUAUUUACUGGUCUGUUAAAUCAAUAAAGAGUUUAAACAAAGAUUCUCCUCAAAGUGUAAAGUGUAGAACCAUCUCACCAUUCUAUGGGUACACUUUAUAGACUGCAAGUCGUUUUUAAUAUAUAUCAUUAUUUUUAUAAAAAAACAAUCUGUUUUGCUAAUGUUGUUUGAGACAACAUCUGCUCACCAACAACAAACGAUUCCAGAUGAAAGAAUUGGGUAUCAAAUAUACUCGUAUGCAUUACAAGAGAAGGCUUUUAAUUGAUUGGUAAACACAUUAUUUGUAUAUAAUUGUGUGUGUGUGUGUUUACUAAUAGUGUCGUUAUUGGUUAAUGUAGCUCGCUGAUAAACAAUUUUCUCAAAAUACAACCAAGCAUGUUCCUUUUGCUGGAAAUAAAACCUCAAUGGUUCGUCAAAGUGAAAUUGACGAGUUUGUAGAGUGUACUUUAAAGGCGUUUAUUUCAAUUUUGGUGGCGGGAAGGACGACAAGGAUGAAUGGAGUGGCAAAGGAAUUCAAGCCAGUGAGUGCUCUUGAGAGCUUUGUGGUUAUUGGGGUGGAUAAAGGAGGUUGCACAAAGUCAAGGAGUUUUUUCGAUGGUUGAUUUUAUUUGUGCUAAACUGAAUGAUAGGAUGUUUUUCUAUGUUAAAUUGAAUGUUUUAGACUAAUGGGUUAACAUGGAUGCUUUAGCUAUUUAUAACAUGGUUCAUUGUUUGUUA